AUGGCGCGACCAGAGGCCUGGAGGAGGGGCUCUGUCUUGGAGCGCCCCCUGCCGGCUGGAGGACCGCGUCAGUCAUGGAAAAACAGGCAUGAAUUCUACUGCUCCAGUGUCUCUGUCAGCCACCUCUCUCAGAGGACAAAGGCCACUUCUACCCGGUUCCCUGCCCUGCUGAGAGCCCCACCGCCUUCCAUGCCAACUCAGCACCUCCUUCCCAUGAUGCACUUGAACCUCAUUCCUCCAUUGGGCGGAAGACAGCUUGAAGAGCAUGUGUACGUGCUGAGCUGCAACGGAGAUACCAUGAAACCUUCCAAGAGGAUCAACACGCACACUGAACCCUGCCCAAACUCCGCCCCAUGUGUAUAUUCAACCAGUGCACUCCCUACCCCAUAA
rnacentral:lncRNA from 1 species